rnacentral:rRNA from 1 species
UGGGGAAUAUUGGACAAUGGGGGCAACCCUGAUCCAGCAAUGCCGCGUGAGUGAAGAAGGCCUUCGGGUUGUAAAGCUCUUUCACCCGCGAAGAUGAUGACGGUAGCGGGAGAAGAAGCCCCGGCUAACUCCGUGCCAGCAGCCGCGGUAAUACGGAGGGGGCUAGCGUUGUUCGGAAUUACUGGGCGUAAAGGGCGUGUAGGCGGCUUUGUAAGUUAGGCGUGAAAGCCCCGGGCUUAACCUGGGAACUGCGCUUAAAACUGCGAGGCUAGAGAUCGGGAGAGGAGAGUGGAAUUCCCAGUGUAGAGGUGAAAUUCGUAGAUAUUGGGAAGAACACCAGUGGCGAAGGCGGCUCUCUGGACCGAUACUGACGCUGAGGCGCGAAAGCGUGGGGAGCAAACAGG